rnacentral:tRNA from 1 species
GUUUCCGUAGUGUAGUGGUUAUCACGUUCGCCUCGCACGCGAAAGGUCCCCAGUUCGAAACUGGGUGGAAACA